CCUACGGGUGGCAGCAGUGAGGAAUCUUGGUCAAUGGGCGAGAGCCUGAACCAGCAACGUCGCGUGAAGGAAGAAGGAAUUCGUUCUGUAAACUUCUGUUAUAAGAGAAGAAAGACGGAUGGAGGAAAUGACAUCGGUGUGACGGUACUUUAUGAGAAAGCCACGGCUAACUACGUGCCAGCAGCCGCGGUAAUACGUAGGUGGCAAGCGUUAUCCGGAAUUAUUGGGCGAAAAGAGGGAGCAGGCGGCAGCAAAGGUCUGUGGUAAAAGACUGAAGCUUAACUUCAGUAAGCCAUAGAAACCGGGCAGCUAGAGUGCAGAAGAGGAUCGUGGAAUUCCAUGUGUAGCGGUGAAAUGCGUAGAUAUAUGGAGGAACACCAGUGGCGAAAGCGACGAUCUGGCCUGCAACUGACGCUCAGUCCCGAAAGCGUGGGGAGCAAAUAGGAUUAGAUACCCCUGUAGUC
rnacentral:rRNA from 1 species